UACGGAAGGCAGCAGUGGGGAAUAUUGCACAAUGGGCGAAAGCCUGAUGCAGCUAUGCCGCGUGUAUGAAGAAGGCCUUAGGGUUGUAAAGUACUUUCAUCGGGGAGGAAAAAACAAAACUAAUAAUUUUAUUUCUUGACGUUACCCGAAAAAGAAGCACCGGCUAACUCCGUGCCAGCAGCCGCGGUAAUACGGAGGGUGCUAGCGUUAAUCAGAAUUACUGGGCGUAAAGAGCACGUAGGUGGUUUUUUUAAGUCAGAUGUGAAAUCCCUGGGCUUAACCUAGGAACUGCAUUUUGAAACUGAAAUACUAGAGUAUCGUAGAGGGAGGUAGAAUUCUAGGUGUAGCGGUGAAAUGCGUAGAUAUCUGGAGGAAUACCUGUGGCGAAAGCGGCCUCCUAAACGAAUACUGACACUGAGGGUGCGAAAGCGUGGGGAGCAAAACGAGGGAUUAGGAUACC
rnacentral:rRNA from 1 species